rnacentral:lncRNA from 1 species
CAACCAUCAAUUCCCUUUGGGCCUGGCAUCUCCAUCUCUCUCCCACUUACCACUUCCUCUCCCACCUCCGGCCGCCGCCGCGGCCAGGCCAUCGUGGCGGCGCGCCAACCAGUACCUCCACCAUCUCCCCGCGCCGCCUAGUACCUCCACCAUCUCACCAUCACCCACCAGCGCCAUCCAUCUUCCACCAUCAGCCACCAGCGCCACCCCAUCACCACCGCGCCUCCACCUCACGCUCGCGCGACCCACCAGACGGCCGUCUGAUCCGUCGCGCGAGUCCUCUCCUCUGCUUGUGCCCGACUGCUGCUGCUCCUUCUUCCCUAGCCUCGCUGCUGCUCUUCCUUCUCCAAAUCCCCAAACUGCUGCUCCUCUUUCUUACACGACUGCUGCUGUUCUUCUUCUCCUAUCCUGCUUGCGCCCGACCUCUGCUGCUCCUUCUUCUCUUGCCUCGCUGCUGCUCCUCCACCUGUGAACUGCUCCUUUGCUGCUGCUCUUCUUCUCCCACGACCUCUGCUGCUCCUUCUCUUGCCUCGCUGCUGCUCCCCCACCUGUGAACUUCGCCCCUGCUGCUGCUCUCUCAACCUCCUGCUGCUGCUUCUUCUCCUAUCCUCACGCUGAUCCUAUUCCCUUUCCUUGCUAGUGUUCCUUCACUGAAGAAAACAACUUGAUGCUGUUCUUUACUUGUUGCUGAUCCUGUGCUUCUCUGAAUCCCAAACGGCUGCUUCUCUCUCUCUUUUUCUUGCAAAAAUAUUGUACGAUGCCUUGUAAGAAUUGGUGAACUGUCCAGUAUUAAAGUGGUUUAGUAAUAUUCUGUUGAUCUGCGAGUACUAGUUUAGUGGCUUGUGUAAUUUCGUUUGUGUUAUCACUCGUGUAACCUGAACCUUGGUGUAGUACCUUGUGCCCAUAUGUGUGGCUGUGUGUGUACUGUAGUUCCUACGUCAACUAUGCUCAUGUGAAAAUAUAUAUGUUUGUGCUGUGAUAUAUAUUUGUCCCUGACAUAUUAUCUUGUUUCUUUCCUCUGUUAGAUGUUUGAUAGUUAUACAUGUGUCUUUGUCAUGUUAUUUUCCUUUUGGUUUUAGGCCUCCUUUGGUUUAGAGGAAUUUCAUAGAAAUUCUAGAGGAUAGGAUUUCUUAUAGGAUUUUUUCCUUUAGAGCCCUUUGGUUCAUAGGAAUGGAUUCUUAUUCCUAUAUAGGAUUGGUUCCUAUCCUCCACAUUUUAUAGGAAAUAAAUAUGAGGCUAGAC